rnacentral:piRNA from 1 species
UGGGUGUGAUGUCUUGGCUUUGAUAGU